rnacentral:rRNA from 1 species
GAGUAACACGUGAGCAACCUGCCCCUGACUCUGGGAUAAGCGCUGGAAACGGCGUCUAAUACUGGAUACGAGACGUGAUCGCAUGGUCGACGUCUGGAAAGAUUUUUUGGUUGGGGAUGGGCUCGCGGCCUAUCAGCUUGUUGGUGAGGUAAUGGCUCACCAAGGCGUCGACGGGUAGCCGGCCUGAGAGGGUGACCGGCCACACUGGGACUGAGACACGGCCCAGACUCCUACGGGAGGCAGCAGUGGGGAAUAUUGCACAAUGGGCGCAAGCCUGAUGCAGCAACGCCGCGUGAGGGAUGACGGCCUUCGGGUUGUAAACCUCUUUUAGCAAGGAAGAAGCGAAAGUGACGGUACUUGCAGAAAAAGCGCCGGCUAACUACGUGCCAGCAGCCGCGGUAAUACGUAGGGCGCAAGCGUUAUCCGGAAUUAUUGGGCGUAAAGAGCUCGUAGGCGGUUUGUCGCGUCUGCUGUGAAAUCCCGAGGCUCAACCUCGGGUCUGCAGUGGGUACGGGCAGACUAGAGUGCGGUAGGGGAGAUUGGAAUUCCUGGUGUAGCGGUGGAAUGCGCAGAUAUCAGGAGGAACACCGAUGGCGAAGGCAGAUCUCUGGGCCGUAACUGACGCUGAGGAGCGAAAGGGUGGGGAGCAAACAGGCUUAGAUACCCUGGUAGUCCACCCCGUAAACG